ACUAAUUUCAGUGAGAAGCAAUGCAAUUUCGAAUACGUUUUGAAGAUAAAUAAUCAAAACAAGAGAAUAUCUAUUCUUAAACUUACAUUAUAAUGGCAGGUGUUACAAAAUUUAUGAAAAAUGUUUAUCACGAUCCUUUUCAAUGGUCAAUAGUUAAAAGCAUUGGAUUCUUCAUAUUAGGGGUGAAGAUUGCUCUUGAAUGUAAAGGAAUGACCCUGAUGCCAACCACCUCUUAAAAAUUCCAAAUAUAGAAAUAAAAAUGUAAAGACUUAAUGUAUUGCAGUUCAUAAUACAUACAUGCAUAUUUUAUUAUCUUAA